GGAAUGGGGAAGCGGCCGUUGGAGGCUUCAUGGCUAAAGUUAUUUAUAGAGAUUAAUGGCUGUGGCUCUGGGUGCCUCCAGGAACGGAGUCACCAUAUGCUCCUGCUUCUCAGCGCACACAUGUUCACCGCGCACGCACCUACGCGCUGCUCCUCACUGCUGCUUGUGGAGGUGCUUUCUCUAUUCAGUGGAGGAUGGAGGAUCCAUCACCUCACCUUGCCCAAACCCAGGCAGGACGCAGCGAUGAAGCCACCCAGGGGACACCCAGACCUGGUUUCAUGGUGACUCCAGUCCUGGAAAACCAUUCCAGAUCCCAGUUCAUGCUGCAGCAGCUCCAGGACCACCAUCACCCUCUCACUACCUGAUGCAGAAGCCUCCAGCAGGGCCAGCAGGCAGCACGGGCUGCAGCCCCACACCGAAGUUAGCACUGCCCUGAUAUUCUUCCAGCAGUGGUUGUUUGCACAGAACAUCUCAGAG